CCAUAAUCUAAUUUUUAAACAUUUUUGUCCCGGCCGAAAGUAAACUCUACCCUUUAGCAGUCACUCUCCAUCCCCCGAUGCCCAACACACUCCCCGGACCUAGACAAACACUAAUCUACUUUCUCAGGCCACCAAACUUAACAAAGGUAAAUUGAUCACAAAUCCUAAAAAUCUACCCGAUUCUGGAGCAUAAUGUGAAAUUUGGUAGAUAAUUGCCCCCCUUUAUCAAUGUGUACUGCAGAAACGCAAACUUCUAUUGCAGCUUCAGGUCUGAUCUGCAGUUUAUUAGACUAUUAGGCAGUUUGAUAGGGAAUUUAUUAGUACCAGAUCCACAUUUAAUGAGGGUGGAUAGUUUGGGUUGGUCUUGAUUUUUACUAUUGCUGUUGAAGUCAACUCCCUUUAGCAGUUUAUAGUUUGGCAGAAAACAGAGUAACAAAAAACUCGCAGCCUCAGGUAGCAAUUGUGAAAGUGCCUGAUAAUCUCUUCUAGGGUGUUUAGCCCCCUAGAAAAUAAGCAUUACGUGAGUAGUCGCUUUCCGGAGCUUUUAUUUCUAACGCGAUUCUUCCAAGAGGCUCACCUCUGGAUGGGUGCUGUGCGGGUGUACACGCGGGACAAGAAUCACAACUCGGCGUUUAGCGAGGCGGCAUUUUCUGAAAUGGGUCGGGUCUAGCGCGUCGCCAGGUAGUAGCGUUUCCCUUCGCUGUCGCGCGUACGAGUCGCUUGCGCAGUGACGCAGUCGGCGCGCGGCGACGCGGCGCGCGGCGCGCGGCGCGGUGCACGCUGGGAUAUUUAAGUCUUCUCCGCGGCGCGGAGCCGCGAUGUCUCCGCCGGCUUCGGCGGCUGGAGGAGGUGACCGGCGGCGGCCGUUAGCGAGUGUCAGGGACGGCCGGGGCCGGGGCUGGGGCUGCGGCGGGCCGGCUGGGGCGGCGCUUCUCGUCUUGUCGCUGCUCGGCCUCGUGCUGUACCUGGUGCCGGCGGCGGCUGCGCUGGCCUGGCUGGCUGUGGGGGCUACCGCGGCCUGGUGGGGACUGAGCCGCGAACCCCGGGGUUCGCGCGCCUUCUCGCUGGUUCGGAACGCCAGGCGUCAGCGAACACUGCUCGCCUCGCCUCCGGCCAAGUCGGCAGUAAACGGAAAUCUUCUAGAGCCGCGGAGCCUGCUGGAAGGACCCGACCCCGCUGAACUGCUCCUCUUGGGCAGUUACCUGGGCAAGCCUGGCCCCCCGCAGCCUGCCCCCGCCCCGGAGAGCAGGGACCUGCGGGAGAGGCCGGGCCGACGCCCACCCGCCCGCACCGCGCCGCCCGCUCACUCGGCGCAUCCCCGUGGCGUUCAAGUUCACCCCUUCCUCCCCACUCCUCUCCUCCGAUCCUCUAGGAGGCCUUCCCACCGGGAUUGUGGGACUUUAUCACAUCGGUUUGUAAUAACACCUCGAAGAAGAUAUCCAAUUCAACAGACCCAAUAUUCCUUGCUGGGGGUGCUUCCCACUGUAUGCUGGAAUGGUUAUCACAAGAAGACUGUGCUGUCUGCUCGUAAUUCCAAAAUGGUGUGCAGUCCAGUGACAGUGAGGAUUGCUCCUCCAGAUAGCAAACUGACUCGUUCUCCGAUACGAGAGCAAGUUAUCAACUCAACACUGUCCUCACCAUCAACUAGUGCCCCAGACCCAUGUGCAAAGGAGACCGUACUGAAUGCCCUCAAAGAGAGGAAGAAAAGGACAGUGGAGGAGGAAGACCAAAUAUUUGCUGAUGGCCAGGAAAAUAAAAGAAGGCGCCAUGAUAGCAGUGGGAGCGGACAUUCAGCAUUUGAGCCCCUGGUGGCCAAUGGAGUCCCUGCUUCUUUUGUGCCUAAGCCUGGGUCUCUGAAGAGAGGUCUCAAUUCCCAGAGCUCAGAUGAUCACUCGAAUAAGAGAUCCCGCACCUCUUCUAUGAGCUCCUUGACAAGCACAUACACAGGUGGCAUCCCUAGCUCCAGCCGCAAUGCCAUUACCAGUUCCUACAGUUCUACUCGAGGUCUCUCUCAGCUGUGGAAGAGGAGUGGUCCCAGUUCAUCUCCCUUCUCUAGCCCAGCCUCAUCCCGCUCCCAGACACCAGAGAGGCCAGCAAAGAAAAUAAGAGAAGAGGAGCUUUCUCAUCAUUCUAGUUCUUCAACUCCAUUGGUAACAGACAAGGAGUCCCAGGGAGAAAAGGUUGCAGAUAAAACCACAUGGAAGAAACAGAACUCGUGGAAUUCCCCAUCAACACCUGGCAGCUCUGGGCAGCGUAAACGGAAGGUUCAGUUGCUGCCCUCCAGGCGAGGGGACCAGCUGACCUUGCCUCCACCUCCCCAGCUUGGUUAUUCAAUCACUGCUGAAGACUUAGACUUGGAAAAGAAAGCUUCUUUACAGUGGUUUAACAAGGUCUUGGAGGAUAAGACCGAUGCUGCCUCAGACUCUGUCACGGAGAACCCACCUACCAGUCAGUCUUCUUUCACUUUUACCCUGCCUGCUGCUGGGACUGCUUCAUCCCCAACCUCCCUCCCAGCCCCAAGCACGAACCCACUGCUGGAGAGCUUGAAGAAGAUGCAGAAUUCCCCGGGCCUACCAUCCCUCCCCGAAUCUGCUGGUGUGGCAACCACUGUGGCCCAUUCGCCUCCGAAGACACCCAGCCCUCUGGCCCCUCCGGGCUCUUCAGAGUCAGCACCCCUUCCAGGCACCUCCUCAGACUCCAAAUCCACCACCACUUUCUUGGGGCUGACCCCUGCUGCUUCCCCAGGACCAGUCACUGACGCCACCAAGUCACCUCCAGACCCUCAGGCUGAGACAUCUGCCAAAUCCCAAGCCCCGUCCGCCCCGUCUCCCAGCCCCAAGCAGAGUAUUCUGUUUGGAAUGCUGAGCACCCCACCUGCUAACCCUCCUGCCUCUGUGGCCCCUGCUGUGUCUUCAGCAUCUCCCAUGUUCAAGCCCAUUUUUGUGGUCCCACCUAAAAGCGAGAAUGAGGGCCCCUUGCCCUCUAGCCCUUCCAAGGUCACAGCCGCAGCAUCUUCCAGCUCAGCCAUCCCCACGACGACCAGCAGCCCACCCCUCACUUUCAAGCCUAUCUUUAGCAACAUGGGGCCGCCUGCAUCCAUGCCCAUGUUAACACCCUUCUCCUUCAAGCAAACAGCUACUCCAGCCACUAGCACGAGCGCCUCUCUCUUCAGCGGCCAGGCCAGCGCCACCUCCGCAGUGGUGUCCAUGACCACAGCCAGCACCUCCGCGGACUCCGCUCCGAAGCCCGCGUUCAGCUUCGGUGUGUGCACCGUGACCAGCACCCUGGGCAGCGUGACUAGCACCACCGCUUCCGCCUCCCAGCCCUUCCUCUUUGGGACUCCCCCUGCUUCCGGUGCCAGCUUCGCCCCCGCCGUGGGCCCCAUAUUCCAAUUUGGCAAGCCUCCCGCCAUGCCCGCUUCAACAGCAGUUGCCACCUUUGGCCAGUCCCUUCCCAGUGCCGCCCAGACAGCCCCCAGCGGCAGCAGCACGUCCAGCUUUAGUGGCUUUGGCGGCACCCUCACCGCCUCAGCCCCGGUCACCGGCAGCCAGCCCACGCUGACGUUCAGUAGCACCACCGCCCCAGCGUUCAACAUUCCCUUCGGCUCGAGCGCCAAGCCGCCUCUCCCGUCCUACCCAGGAGCCGACCCCCAACCCGCCUUCGGGGCUGUGGAGGGGCAGCAGCAGGGGGCUGCCAAGUCGGCGCUCGUCCCCAGCUUCGGCAGCUCUUUCACUUUUGGAAACUCUGCAGCCCCGGCCCCGACUGCGGCCCCAGCGCCAACCCCGGCCCAGCCAGCCUUUGGCGGCACCGCGCAGUCGGCCUUCAGUGGUCUGAAGGCCACGGCCUCUGCCUUCGGCACCCCUGCCAGCACCCAGCCAGCCUUUGGCGGCACCACAGCUGCCUUCUCCUUCGGUGCAGCCACCACCUCUGGCUUUGGCGCUACAACCCAGACCGCCAGCAGUGGGACCAGUAGCUCAGUGUUCGGCAGCACGACACCAUCGCCCUUCACGUUUGGGGGAUCGGCAGCCCCAGCCAGCGGCGGGGGCUUUGGGAUCAGUGCGGCCACCCCAGGCACCAGCUCUGCCUCUGGAGCGUUCGGCUUUGGAGCAGGACAGAGUGGGACCACUGGCAGCACGACCCCUUUCGGGGGAGGCUUGAGUCAGAACAGCUUGGGCGCGCCCAGCCAGAGCACACCCUUUGCCUUCAACGUGGCCAGCACGCCGGACAGCAAACCUGUGUUUGGAGGCACCUCCACACCCGCCUUUGGUCAGAACACCCCUGCCCCUGGGGUGGGCGCAUCAGGCAGCAGCCUCUCCUUUGGGGUGUCCUCAACACCCGCCCAAGGCUUUGUCGGAGUUGGACCUUUCGGUAAGCGGCCAGUCUCCUUGUUGCCAGUGUGACCUGCGUGUCUCCUCUCUGAAGAGGGGUGGGGUGGGCUGGCAGCUCCGGCUCUCCGAGGCCCGUCUGGGAGUCCAGCACAAGCCAGGUUUGGAGUUGGGCAGCGGAGAUGAGAAGGAGCCAGACUGCUGGGACGCCAGGAUCGGCGGCCCCCUCCUUUUCCAUUGGUGCGGGAUCCAAGACCCCAGGGGCUCGACAGCGACUGCAGGCCCGAAGGCAGCACACCCGCAAGAAAUAGCGUUUGCCCCUGCCCCCCACACCCCCGCCACCCUUGCCCAAAUCUGGACCUCAGCACCUGCUAGGAAGAGCCUCUGACCCUUCCAGUUCCGUAACGCAGACCUGCCCCAGACCUCUGGCUUCGGCCACCAGGGAGGUGGUGGCAGCCCCAGGGGCUGUUUCCCUCUUCCAGGAAGCAGAAGCCUCGGGCCUCUCGAGGGAGGGGGAGGCAGGAUGUGGCAGGGCAGAAGCCUAUUACUACCUUACUUGAACAGUUCCACUGGUGAGGCUGGAGAGAACUAAAGAAACAUCUGUACAUAUCGUCCACUGCCUUCCCUGACUCUCAUUUAGUGUAUGAGCUUGGUCAGGCGGCCUCCCUUCCCGCCUUUUCCCUGAGAGCCAUCUUUGCCGGAGGGUAGCAGGAGGAGCCCUCGCCCACUUGCAUCUCUGAUAUGCAUUUGAUGGGAUUGGGGGAUGGAUUAUCCCUAAAACUUCACCUUGCUUGGCUUGGCUAUAAAAAGUGGUUCUCCCCCUCUGGUCCCAUUAGGGGACUCUGUUGUUUCCCCAUUUCUUGCUGCUUCAUCCCUUACUGGUUCCUCGCAGGAUCGAUUCCUUUUAAAAUGAUCCUGACUCUGGCUUUGCCUUUGGAGGCCCCAGCGGGUGCUGCUCCUGCCGUUCCACUUCCUCCCACCAAGUCCGAGCCGGUGUUUCAUCCCCGACCCUCUCUGCCAGUUUGGCCCCUAAAAGCUUGGUGGCUCAAGACUGUUAGCCUGGCAGACCCAGGGGUGAUACCUUCCCCAGGAGAGGGAAGCUCCUGGAGCAGGCAGGACGCCCCCGCUGCUUUCAGCUGCCUCCUCGCCCACCGUCCCCGUUGGCCUCAUUGGGCUCAUCUGCCUCUCCGGGAUUGUAUGUCUAAAGCCUUGUCCUGUGUUAUUUUGUCUGAUGCUCGUGUCUAUUGCUCUUUGAAUCGAGUUUGGAGGAAGAACUGAAUUGUAUGAGUGGCGGCAUGUUGGUAGUGCCGGACUUAACUGUUUCUCAAGUUCCUGGGGCCUCGCUAAUUGAAUGUGGAAAGUAGCACCACUUUACGGCUACAAGUGCCGAGUCUUGAAUUUUCAAAUGGUGUUUUGACUUUAAGGGCUGGCAGCCCGAGGAGGAUGGGUCUGAGGGGAAGCAAAGGCCUCUUCCCUCUGCUGUUUGUUUCCCACCUGCCUAACUUCACUGUAGGCUAGAUCACUUGUAGUGUAUGUUAGAAAACCUAAAUUAAUGAACCACAUUUUAAAAUUGUAUCUUACUUGCUCCACCCCUUCCUUCCUUCUUCCUUGGUUCCAAAACCACAUACCCCAGGCCCAAAAGCCUUGCUGCCGUGCCCAUCCUCUUUGGAAGAAGUAUGAAUGCGUGUGUCUAAAUUAAAAGGAAAAAUAUUUAAACAUUUUUUAACAAAAUAAAAAUUUAUUUUUGUAUUUAAGCUAAAUUGCCUUUUAAAUUCCUUCAAGCUUGGUUCAUUGAGGUGGUUAAGUAUAAAUGCUAUUGACUAGAAAUUUAGCUGUAUAGUUAAGUUAUGCCUGUGUGAAGAAGAGGCUCAAAUGCUGUCCCAGGCAGCUUUCCUGAGGGACUAGAGCUCCUUCCGGAAACACAAAAUGUAAUUCUUAUUUUAUAAAUAACGUGAUGUAGAUGUAACUAGUCCCCCUCCCCUUGGUGAACGAGGGUGAAUGUUUUGUGGCAGGGACUGCGCCCCACCCCCGCCCCAAGGAGAGCUCUGUUAGUACUUAACUGUUGUGUGUGGAGCUGAGGAGGGACCCAAGCCUCAGAUACCUGCUGGGAUUGGAGGGGGGUGGGGCGCGGGUCUAGAAAUCAAGCUUCUACCUAUACCUUACGUAAGGUAGCCCCUCUCAGCUUAGUACUCGCAGCUAGUUUACCUCAGUUCCACAGGCAGGACAGUUGAUCCAGGAGCCCCCUGAAGCGGGCGUCCUGGCGCAGCCUGAGUGUGAGCGCAUGAGUGCGGGUGUGGACGUGGACGUGCACUGGACAGGGACGGGAGGCUGGGACUUUCCAUUACAAAUAAAGACUGAAUUCCUGUGAGUCUAGUUGGAAUUUUUAGUAUGAACGUGAGAUUGUUCUCACGUAUGAACGUGAGAUUGUUCUCCUUGCUUGUGUCAUUAAAAAAAACUGUGAUCUAUCGUA